GCUGGCGGCGUGCUUAACACAUGCAAGUCGAACGGUGAAGCGCCUUCCUUUUUGGUGGGUGUGGAUGAGUGGCGAACGGGUGAGUAACACGUGAGUAACCUGCCCCCUUCUUCUGGAUAACCGCAUGAAAGUGUGGCUAAUACGGGAUAUUCUGGGUCUGUCGCAUGAUGGGUCUGGGGAAGGUUUUUUUCUGGUGGGGGAUGGGCUCGCGGCCUAUCAGCUUGUUGGUGGGGUGAUGGCCUACCAAGGCGGUGACGGGUAGCCGGCCUGAGAGGGUGGACGGUCACACUGGGACUGAGACACGGCCCAGACCUCUACGGGAGGCAGCAGUGGGGAAUAUUGCACAAUGGGCGCAAGCCUGAUGCACGACGCCGCGUGAGGGAUGGAGGGCUCCGGGUUGUGAACCUCUUUCGCCAGUGAAGCAAGGCCUGCCUCGUUUGUGGGUGGGUAGACG
rnacentral:rRNA from 1 species